GCCGGCUCCUCUCACGGUUGCCAGGCUGAGGCUGCCCUUCGCCUUGCCCUUGUACUCCACAACGUAGCCACCCACCUCUCCAGUUCCCUGGGUUCAAAAGAUCACCACAAAAAGAAAAUAUUUACCAAAACUCCAAAAAGUGAACAUGUGAGGGAAGUGGUGAGCACCUGAGUGCUGCUGAACCAUGGCCUCCAUUUUGCAGCAACUGGGAGCUGGAGCUGGUUGACAGAGUAUCUGCUGGAAGUGACCGGCACUCUCCCAUCGGUGUCACCGCUGCAAAAACAUCAGUGACAUCUUGCUGAAUAUACAACUUCCCAUCCACACAGUUCAAUUUCCAAUCCGAGUCGUUGCAUCAGUGAAACAACUGAAGCAUCUGAAAGCUGUUACCCAUACCUGUACACCCAGACCCUGAUGUUGUUGUUCAGGAGCUCCGUGAUGAUAGGCAAGACCGUUGUGGCGCUGUCUGUCCAGCGCCUCAAGACCUCACUGAAAAAAGAUUUAUCAUAUUUUCGUAAAAUAUAAAUACACACACACGCCACGUUUUGAAGAUAAUAUUUGAUCCCAUUUGUUUUGUCGUAGAUGACUGCGUUUGCACAUGGGCCCAAUAAUUUCUUGCAGGACGGGCUGGAAGCAAGUGGACCAAUCAUCAUAGACUUCCAAGGUCCAUGCCUAGAGCUGCAACAAUUAAGGUCGAUGUGGAGUACGCUGCUCCAUGCAUCUAAAAGAAUCGAAAUCCCAAAGAACAUGGAGAAAAUGCGGGUUCGUCGUCAUGUGUGCGUUGGACAACGCCAUGACAUGAAUGAAAACCACGAAGGUGUUGAUAUCGGAUCUUGUUAGGAACCACCAAGGUCAAAUCUGAAACCCUAAACUAGUACUGACCAUGUGAUCCUUGCCUUCACAUUUAAUUUGUUAAACAUAUAAAACUUGCAGGGAAGCGAUCGCUACAGGAGCUGGAGCAGCAGGCGAUUUCUGCACGCUUGGCCAACUCACCGGAGCAAGUUUCGCGUGCAGUUGGGUGGAAGUUCGAAGGCAUCGGGCAAUAAUCGAGCAUGUAACCACCUACCUUUUUGCGUUGUUCCUGUGCUGCCCCUACCGUACGUAAUAGCGCCGCAUUAUCAUACUGUUACCAACAAAAAAAAUUCAGGGUAGCUAGAUGAACACUUUUUUCGUGCCUGUUUUUGGCACGGAACUAAUUAAUCCCUAUUAUCGGUGCCAUAA